CACGUAGGGGGCAAGCGUUGUCCGGAUUUAUUGGGCGUAAAGAGCUCGUAGGCGGUUCGAUAAGUCGGACGUGAAAUCUCCACGCUCAACGUGGAGGGGCCGUUCGAUACUGUCGUGACUCGAGUCCGGUAGGGGAGUGUGGAAUUCCCGGUGUAGCGGUGAAAUUCGUAGAGAUCGGGAGGAACACCAGUGGCGAAGGCGCCUAUCUGGCUGACAACUGACGCUGAGACUCGAAAGCAUGGGGAGCAAACAGG
rnacentral:rRNA from 1 species